GACAGAGGUGCCGAGCGUUAGGCGGAAUCACUGGGCUUAAAGCGUGUGUAGGCGGGCGGGCAAGUACCUUGUGAAAUCCCACGGCUCAACCGUGGAACGGCUGGGUAUACUGCCUGUCUUGAGCCAACUAGGGGCGAGCGGAACAGACGGUGGAGCGGUGAAAUGCGCAGAUAUCAUUUGGAACGCCAAUGGUGAAAACAGGUCGCUGGGAGUGUGCUGACGCUGAGACACGAAAGCCAGGGGAGCAAACGGG
rnacentral:rRNA from 1 species